GAUGAAGAACGCAGUGAAAUGCGAUAAGUAAUGCGAAUUGCAGAAUUUCCGUGAGUCAUCGAAUCUUUGAACGCACAUUGCGCCCACUGGUAUUCCGGUGGGCAUGCCUGUUCGAGCGUCAUUAUCCUCCCUCAAACCUCGGGUUUGGUGUUGGACCCAAGUUGUGUGAACAACUGGUCUUAAAGACAAUGACGGCGUCCGUGGGACCCUCGGUGCAACGAGCUUUUAGGAGCACGCGUCGAGUUUCAAGGACCUUCCGGGCCGGUCUCCUUUACCAUUUUACAAGGUUGGCCUCGGAUCAGGUAGGAAUACCCGCUGAACUUAAGCAUAUCAAUAAGCGGAGGA
rnacentral:misc_RNA from 1 species